UUUUUUAAAUUUAUUUUUUAAUUUAUUCUUUUUAUUUGCAGUAGAAGAUUCCCAAACUAAGGGCUGGGAUUGGAUCUCCCUUUUCCCAUACAUGGUGGGGAGUUGAGGGGUCGGGGCUGAGGGAGUGGCCUAUAGCUGCCCUAUUUGGCCCUCAGGAUGUGUGUUUGGGCCUUGGAAACAAAUGCUGGCUGAGCAGCCUGGGAUUCCAAGCUUGGAAGGAGUCACCCUUCCAGGUGUCAAGCACCCUCUGCCAGCCUGCCCAAAGGGACUCAUGGCAGUAGAGGCUGUGGGACACCCCAGGACACACAGGCGCAAGUGGGUAUUCCAAGGCUCCACGGAACAGCUAGCACCCUGAGGGACAAUAGAGAGGCUGUUUGUGGCUUCCUCCAAAAGAAGAACGAGGAGAAAGUGGCUAGAGCCAAGAACAGCAGGAAAGAGACCUGUAGAGUGCUAGGGAGGCCAAAGCCAGUUUCUUCAGGCCACAGAGGCAUGUAGAGAUGACCAUGCACUGAUGGGGCCAUCUCCCUCCCCCAGAAUGGUGUCCACACAGCGAGGAAGCCACGCUUGAACCUCUCAUCCAGGACAUUCUCCACACUCUGCCAGUCCUAACUCAGGCAGCAGCCAUAACUGGUGACUCGGCUGAGGCCAUGCCAGCCCCCAUGCACUGUGGCAGGACCAAGGUGUUCAUGACUGACUCCAUGCUGGAGCUUCUGGAAUGCGGGCGUGCCCGGGUGCUGGAGCAGUGUGCCCGCUGCAUCCAGGGUGGCUGGAGGCGACACCGGCACCGAGAGCAGGAGCGGCAGCGGCGGGCCGUCAUGCUCAUCCAGGCAGGUAGGUGGGCAGGUCACCUGUCAGCACUGCUCACAGACCCCACAGGAUGUUGGUUUCCUUUGAAACAUAGCUCGUCGAGUCCCCAUCUCCUGAAGCUGUGUCCCAGCCUGAAGAGAUGUCCCUGUGGUGUGCUGGGAUUCAAAUUCCCUGUCCCCCUCACUCAUAACGUCUCUCCAGUUCAAUGGAAACCAAGUCACUCCACAAACAAAGGUUCUCUGUAAGAAGUGGAGGCUAAGCGUUGUCUUUAAUUCCUCUUUCUCAGACCCUGACAGCUGUUUAGGCCAACUUUUUUUCCCUUUAUGACAACUCAAACCAUUACCUGCUGGGCUCUAGGGCUGGAAUGAAUUUAAGGAGAAGGUAAAAACCAAAAGGAGUUCAUCAAAUGAAAAGAUGUAUUAACCAACAUGUUCAUAGUGGCCUUAUUUUGAAAAGGAAAAGUGUUGGAAAGAACCCAAAUAUCUAACAGUGGUGACAUCAUGGCCAAAUGAUGGACUGGACCAUCCCUAUGAUGCAGCUAAGUGUUUUUGAAGAAUAUUAUAAAUUUAAUGGAGAACCACUUCCAAAAUGAUAUUCAUACCUAGAUGUCAAACUACAUAUUAAGGGCGAUGCCCUCCUUUUAAGGUGUGUUUGUGUGUGUAUAGGCAUUAGAAAAAUUGUAUAAGGAAGCUGGGCACAGUAGUUCGCUCCUGUAAUCCCAGCAUUUUGGGAGGCUGAGGUGGGAGGAUCACUUGAGCCCAGGAAUUUCAUACCAGCCGGGCAACAUGGCAAAACCCUUUCUACUAAAAAUACAAAAAUUAGCCAAGUGUGGUAUUAUGCACCUAUAAUCCUAGCUACUCAGGAGGCUGAGGCAGGAGAAUCACCUCAACCCAGGAGGCAGAGGUUGCAGUGAGCUGAGAUUGCACUAUUGCACUCCAGCCUGGGUGACAGAGCAAGACUCUGUCUCAAAAACAAAAACAAAAAAAACUUAAUUAACCGUGCCUGGUGGCGCAUGCCAGUCCCAGUUACUCCAGAGGCUGAGGCAAGAGGAUUGCUUGAGCCUGGGAGAUUGAAGCUACAGCCUUACGGAGGCUACAAUAAGCUGUUCGUGCCACUGCACUCCAGCCUGGGCAAGACCCUGUCUCAAAAAAAAAAAAAAA
rnacentral:sRNA from 1 species